rnacentral:rRNA from 1 species
UGGGGAAUUGUUCACAAUGGGCGCAAGCCUGAUGACGCAACGCCGCGUGGGGGAUGAAGGUCUUCGGAUCGUAAACCCCUGUCGAAUGGGACGAAAGGCCCGGGAGCUAAUCAUCCCGGGAGUGACGGUACCGUUAAAGGAAGCCACGGCUAACUACGUGCCAGCAGCCGCGGUAACACGUAGGAGACGAGCGUUAUCCGGAUUUACUGGGCGUAAAGCGCGGGUCGGUGGGGUCUUAAGUCAUGCGUGAAAGCUCUCGGCUUAACCGGGAGAGGUCGUGUGAAACUGGGGCUCUCAGCGGUAGGUAGAGGCAGAUGGAAUUCCGGGUGGAGUGGUGAAAUGCGUAGAGAUCCGGAGGAACACCAGUGGCGAAGGCGAUCUGCUAGGCCUGACCUGACACUCAGCCGCGACAGCAUGGGGAGCGAA